UAAUAAACAAAGUAGUUUUGUCAGGUGA
rnacentral:sRNA from 1 species